rnacentral:rRNA from 1 species
AACGAACGCUGGCGGCAUGCCUAACACAUGCAAGUCGAACGAGACCUUCGGGUCUAGUGGCGCACGGGUGCGUAACGCGUGGGAACCUGCCCUUAGGUUCGGAAUAACUCCCCGAAAGGGGUGCUAAUACCGGAUAAUGUCUUCGGACCAAAGAUUUAUCGCCUUUGGAUGGGCCCGCGUUGGAUUAGCUUGUUGGUAGGGUAAAAGCCUACCAAGGCGACGAUCCAUAGCUGGUCUGAGAGGAUGAUCAGCCACACUGGGAGUGAGACACGGCCCAGACUCCUACGGAAGGCAGGAAUGGGGAAUAUUGGACAAUGGGCGAAAGACUGAGCCAGCAAUGCCGCGUGAGUGAUGAAGGCCUUAGGGUUGUAAAGCUCUUUUAACCGGGAUGAUAAUGACAGUACCGGAAGAAUAAGCGCCGGCUAACUCCGUG